rnacentral:SRP_RNA from 1 species
GUUCGGGUCCCGUGCAACUCGGUACCGUGAACCCUGUCAGGUCCGGAAGGAAGCAGCAGUAAGCGGAUUUCCGCGUGUGCCGCGGGGAAGCCUGAUCUGU